rnacentral:rRNA from 1 species
GCCAUGCUAGUUGUACGAGUUCAGACUCGUAGCAGAUAGCUCAGUAACACGUGGCCAAACUACCCUAUGGAUCCGGACAACCUCGGGAAACUGAGGCUAAUCCGGAAUACGACUCUCAGCCUGGAAGUGGCGAGAGUCAGAAACGCUCCGGCGCCAUAGGAUGUGGCUGCGGCCGAUUAGGUAGACGGUGGGGUAACGGCCCACCGUGCCCAUAAUCGGUACGGGUUGUGAGAGCAAGAGCCCGGAGACGGUAUCUGAGACAAGAUACCGGGCCCUACGGGGCGCAGCAGGCGCGAAACCUUUACACUGCACGAAAGUGCGAUAAGGGGACUCCAAGUGCGAGGGCAUAUAGUCCUCGCUUUUCACUACCGUAAGGAGGUAGUAGAAUAAGUGCUGGGCAAGACCGGUGCCAGCCGCCGCGGUAAUACCGGCAGCACGAGUGAUGACCGCUCUUAUUGGGCCUAAAGCGUCCGUAGCUGGCCACGCAAGUCUAUCGGGAAAUCCGCGCGCUCAACGCGCGGGCGUCCGGUGGAAACUGUGUGGCUUGGGACCGGAAGAUCCAGAGGGUACGUCUGGGGUAGGAGUGAAAUCCCGUAAUCCUGGACGGACCACCGGUGGCGAAAGCGCUCUGGAAAGACGGAUCCGACGGUGAGGGACGAAAGCUCGGGUCACGAACCGGAUUAGAUACCCGGGUAGUCCGAGCUGUAAACGAUGUCUGCUAGGUGUGCCACAGGCUACGAGCCUGUGGUGUGCCGUAGGGAAGCCGUGAAGCAGACCGCCUGGGAAGUACGUCCGCAAGGAUGAAACUUAA